rnacentral:rRNA from 1 species
AAAGAAUUUAUCAGUUAGCAAAAUAAAUAGGUACGCGAGAUGGGUUCAGAACGACGUGACACAGUUCUGUCCAUAUCCGUCGUGGGCGUAGGAAAAUUGAGAGGAGCUGUCCUUAGUACGAGAGGACCGGGAUGGACAUACCUCUGGUGUACCAGUUGACGUGCCAACGGCAUAGCUGGGUAGCUAUGUAUGGACGGGAUAAGUGCUGAAAGCAUCUAAGCAUGAAGCCCC